CCGGACCCCAAGGAGCGGCCGGACCCCGAGGAGAGAAGGGCCCCCAGGGGAAGCCGGGGCUGCCAGGAAUGCCGGGAUUGGACGGAGACCCCGGUCACCCGGGCAAGGAGGGACCCCCCGGCGGCAAGGGAGGCCAGGUGACC